rnacentral:lncRNA from 1 species
UUAAUAAUAAUGAGAGAGUACGCUUACUCAUUUGCAACUAAUGCAAGUACCCAUCUUAUUUGGCCUCUAGAGAGUGUCACCUCACAAUGAUAUGAUAUUGGCUCCAUUGCACUUAGUUAAGUCAUUCCCACCAUGCUUAGUUCAUGAAGGGGUUCAAGAAUAGCCUCACAAUGAUAUGAUAUUGGCCAUCCUCGUUGCCUACAUCAACCUCAUCAUAUGUUUAUGGAUUCCUCCUGAGUAUAAGCAUGCACUUUGUACUCCCCCAUGAUAGGGU